rnacentral:misc_RNA from 1 species
GUACUUAGUAGUCCAUAGCUGUAACAUGUUUUUACUAAGUUUGAACUAGUUUUAGGUUGUGCAAUCAAUCUAUUAUAUCCUUGUAGUUUUUGGGUUAUAUAAUCUUCGUUUGGGUUUUUGGUUUGUGUGGAUUUGAGGUUUCAAUUUAAAUAUGUUUGGAUCUUAUAUAUGUUUUCAAUAUAUGAUUGUGUGAUUUUUUAUCACUCUGUAUACUAACUGCGUAUGUAGAAGUUUGC